rnacentral:tRNA from 2 species
AGGGGUAUAGCUCAGUGGUAGAGUGCAUGCUUAGCAUGCAGGAGGUCCUGGGUUCAAUCCCCAGUACCUCUA